rnacentral:lncRNA from 1 species
GCAAACGAUUGAUCUCCUCACCAAUGGCCUUUCGCUUUUGUUCUGAAAAACACCGCAUCGAUUGCCUGAUGGGUUUGGCAUGCUCGUCCACAUGCAAAGAGUGCUCGGCGAGUUCCCUGGGAAUACCCGGCAUAUCGGAUGCUACCCAGGCAAAAAAAUUCCAAUUCUCACGCAGGAACUCGAUGAGCGCGCUUUCCAAUGAGGGAGGAAGACUCGAGGACACCAGCACUGUUUUACUGGGAUCCGUCGGGUGUACCUGAUGCUCCGUCGUGUCGCUCUUCGUGCUGAACUCCAUCUGUUGUGGCACUUUCUUCGUCAUGGGAAGUACGUCGUUGUCCGUCGUUGUAACAUCCCAAAAUCUCAAACUUUUACAUGUGCAUUGGAUCCAUGAGCAUCAUGCCACAACUGCAUAUUUAAAUUCAAAAUUUGAAUCUCAAAAGGCCUUAAAAGACUUUUUUUACACCCAUUUAAGCUUUGGAUUUUCAAACCAAUAGGGUUUAUGUAAAAAAAGGGGUUUAUUGCAUAAAUAACCUAUCCCAUAAUUUUUGGAUAAUUAUUUGGAGUUGAAAAAGUAUUUUAUUUAAAUAGAUAUAUAGCCCUAAAGGCAUUUAUAGGGCAAAUGUAUUUUUAUAUAUUUUAUUUUGAGGGGAAACUACUCAAAAAAGUUGUAUCAUGGUAAAACAUGAUUUUAGAAAUUUUCUGGAAUUUAUUUGGACCAAUUUGGAGUUCAAAAUCAAAAGAUAUCAAAGAAAUGAGAAAAACAGAAAAAGAAAAGGCUAAAGAAAAAAAAUAGAACGGACCGACCCACUGGGCCGGCCCGCUAAGGCACGAACCGACCGAACCGGCCGUCCGACCGCGCCCGACCGCACCC